ACGGAGAGCACAUGAGAGUGAAGGCAAGAGGGAAGUUUCUGUCAGUCGAUGAAAGAGACGGAAAACAAGAAGAGGAGAGGUAACUGGGGACUCAUUUGGAGCUGUGUCUCUUCAUAAAUCUGUCAGAACAAGACAGAAAGAGCGCACGAAAGACAGAGUGAUGGGAGGAGGGAGACGUUUAGGACAGGGACAGGGAGUAGGGUUCGUCUCCUGAGGUCUUCACCUGCUGGUUUCAAGUUCAGAUCCAAAUGAUUGCUCACUCCUUCGCUCUUCUUUGUGACUCACACUGGUGUGGUAAAACAUCCCAUUGUCAAUUUAUUUACAAUUUUGUGAUAUAAUCUAAGUCUCCUUUUCCACUCCAAACCCCUUUCUUGGCUUGCCUUCUUUUCAGGUGGUUUGUUCUCCACUUCAAAACAACGUGGAGAGAAGGAACGCUGCAUUGAGCCAAAUCGAGGCAGGCUUAUAAACACCAACGUAGGAGGAAAAAAAAGUCUCUCUUGUAUUAACUUUUUAACAUAUGACUGUUGGCUAUGAUAUGAUUUUCUUCCAGAGGAGACAGAGGACAUCAAAAAGGCCUGUAUCGAAGUGGAGACUGUGUGUGGAGUAUAAUACCGUCCAGAUGUGAGGCAUAGCAACUAACAUUUGCAUACCCAUAAACACCUGCACAUGCUUUCAAUGGGAAAAAAAAAAGACAUGAUGAAUAGCUUCGGUCAAAGGCUGCUGUCAGCAAUGAAGAGAUCCCUUUCACAUGCGCAAACCGUGAAGAAAAAGAAGGCGGGAAACUCAGCGGCAUGUGUCUAAGAGGCAUGCAUGGCCUCGAUUUGCAUACACACUAUCAUCUGUCAUUCUAGCACAAUGAAGUAAUAUGUUUCGUC